UACGAAGGGGGCUAGCGUUGUUCGGAUUUACUGGGCGUAAAGCGCACGUAGGCGGAUCUUUAAGUCGGAGGUGAAAUCCUGGAGCUCAACUCCAGAACUGCCUUCGAUACUGGGAAGCUUGAGUUCGGGAGAGGUGAGUGGAACUGCGAGUGUAGAGGUGAAAUUCGUAGAUAUUCGCAAGAACACCAGUGGCGAAGGCGGCUCACUGGCCCGAUACUGACGCUGAGGUGCGAAAGCGUGGGGAGCAAACAGG
rnacentral:rRNA from 1 species